rnacentral:rRNA from 1 species
UACGGAGGGAGCUAGCGUUGUUCGGAAUUACUGGGCGUAAAGCGCGCGUAGGCGGCUUUGUAAGUUAGAGGUGAAAGCCCGGGGCUCAACCCCGGAACAGCCUUUAAGACUGCAUCGCUAGAAUCCGGGAGAGGUGAGUGGAAUUCCGAGUGUAGAGGUGAAAUUCGUAGAUAUUCGGAAGAACACCAGUGGCGAAGGCGGCUCACUGGACAGUUCCUGACGCUGAGGCACGAAGGCCAGGGGAGCAAACGGG